rnacentral:rRNA from 1 species
AACGGCCGUACCAUGCUGAAUAUACCGGUUCUCGUUCGAUCACUGAAGUCAAGCAUCAUUGGGUGCGGUCAGAACUUGGGUGGGUGACCACCUGGGAACACCGCGUGCCGUU